AGAGUUUGAUCCUGGCUCAGAACGAACGCUGGCGGCAGGCUUAACACAUGCAAGUCGAGCGCCCCGCAAGGGGAGCGGCAGACGGGUGAGUAACGCGUGGGAACAUACCCUUUGGUUCGGAAUGACUCAGGGAAACUUGAGCUAAUACCGGAUACGUCCGUAAGGAGAAAGAUUUAUCGCCAAAGGAUUGGCCCGCGUCCGAUUAGCUAGUUGGUGAGGUAACGGCUCACCAAGGCUACGAUCGGUAGCUGGUCUGAGAGGAUGAUCAGCCACAUUGGGACUGAGACACGGCCCAAACUCCUACGGGAGGCAGCAGUGGGGAAUAUUGGACAAUGGGCGCAAGCCUGAUCCAGCCAUGCCGCGUGAGUGAUGAAGGCCUUAGGGUUGUAAAGCUCUUUUGUCCGGGAAGAUAAUGACUGUACCGGAAGAAUAAGCCCCGGCUAACUUCGUGCCAGCAGCUGCGGUAAUACGAAGGGGGCUAGCGUUGUUCGGAAUCACUGGGCGUAAAGCGCACGUAGGCGGACCGUUAAGUCGGAGGUGAAAGCCUGGGGCUCAACCCCAGAACUGCCUUCGAUACUGGCGGUCUUGAGUAUGGUAGAGGUUGGUGGAACUCCGAGUGUAGAGGUGAAAUUCGUAGAUAUUCGGAAGAACACCAGUGGCGAAGGCGGCCAACUGGACCAUUACUGACGCUGAGGUGCGAAAGCAUGGGGAGCAAACAGGAUUAGAUACCCUGGUAGUCCACGCUGUAAACGAUGAGAGCUAGCCGUUGGGGUGCAUGCACCUCAGUGGCGCAGCUAACG
rnacentral:rRNA from 1 species